rnacentral:rRNA from 1 species
UACGGAGGGAGCUAGCGUUGUUCGGAAUUACUGGGCGUAAAGGGCGCGUAGGCGGCCUGCUAAGUCGAACGUGAAAUCCCUGGGCUCAACCCAGGAACUGCGUCCGAUACUGGUUGGCUUGAAUCCGGGAGAGGGAUGUGGAAUUCCAGGUGUAGCGGUGAAAUGCGUAGAUAUCUGGAGGAACACCGGUGGCGAAGGCGGCAUCCUGGACCGGUAUUGACGCUGAGGUGCGAAAGCGUGGGGAGCAAACAGG